CCUGGUUGAUCCUGCCAGUAGUCAUAUGCUUGUCUCAAAGAUUAAGCCAUGCAUGUGUAAGCACACACUGUUUUAAAAGUGAAGCCGCGAAUGGCUCAUUACAACAGCCACAGUUUAUUAGAACUUACAAUCAUGGAUAACUGUGGUAAUUCUAGAGCUAAUACACGCACAAAAACUUCAACUGAAUUGGUUGAAGUGCUUUUAUUAGAACAAAAACCGAACGGCGUUUGACGAAUGUUGAACGUCGAAACUGUUUGGUGAAUCUGAAUAACUAUUUCUGAUCGCAUGGUCUAGCACCGGCGACAUCACUUUCAAGUGUCUGCCUUAUCAACCUUCGAUGGUAGUCUAUGCGACUACCAUGGUGAUAACGGGUAACGGAGAAUCAGGGUUCGACUCCGGAGAGGGAGCCUGAGAAACGGCUACCACAUCCAAGGAAGGCAGCAGGCGCGCAAAUUACCCACUCCCAGCUUGGGGAGGUAGUGACGAAAAAUAACGAGACGAUUCUCGUUUGAGAAACGUUAUCGAAAUGAGUACGCUUUACACACGCUAACGAGUAGCAAUUGGAGGGCAAGUCUGGUGCCAGCAGCCGCGGUAAUUCCAGCUCCAAUAGCGUAUAUUAAAGUUGCUGCGGUUAAAACGCUCGUAGUUGAAUUGUGGUCUUAGACAACAGUCCCCCUACAAAGGUGUGGCACGGUUGCUCGAGAUCUUCAUUCGUGGUUGCUGUUGUUGCUCUUCAUUGAGUGUCAAUGGUGCCUCGAGAUUUUACUUUGAAAAAAUUAGAGUGCUCAAAGCAGGUUGUGAUGCCUGAAUAAUGGUGCAUGGAAUAAUAGAAUACGAUCUCGGUUCUAUUUUGUUGGUUUUCGAACCGGAGAUAAUGAUUGAAAGGAACAGACGGGGGCAUUCGUAUUGCUGCGUUAGAGGUGAAAUUCUUGGAUCGCAGCAAGAUGAACAAUUGCGAAAGCAUUUGCCAAGAAUGUUUUCAUUAAUCAAGAACGAAAGUUAGAGGUUCGAAGGCGAUCAGAUACCGCCCUAGUUCUAACGGUAAACUAUGCCAACCAGCGAUUCGCCGAAGUUCAUUUAAGACUCGGCGAGCAGCUUCCGGGAAACCAAAGUGUUUCGGCUCCGGGGGAAGUAUGGUUGCAAAGCUGAAACUUAAAGGAAUUGACGGAAGGGCACCACCAGGAGUGGAGCCUGCGGCUUAAUUUGACUCAACACGGGAAAACUCACCCGGCCCGGACACUGGAAGGAUUGACAGAUUGACAGCUCUUUCUUGAUUCAGUGGGUAGUGGUGCAUGGCCGUUCUUAGUUGGUGGAGCGAUUUGUCCGGUUAAUUCCGAUAACGAACGAGACUCUACCCUAUUAAAUAGUGACAGUAUUGUAUUUUUUGUGCUGAUCACUUCUUAGAGGGACUGGCAAAUUGAAAGCUGCACGAAAAAGAGCAAUAACAGGUCUGUGAUGCCCUUCGAUGUCCGGGGCUGCACGCGCGCUACAAUGAAAGCGUCAACGUGAGUUACGUCCUUACCUGAAAAGGUUUGGCAAUCGAAUGAAACGUUUUCUUGAAUGGAAUAGGGAAUUGCAAUUGUUUCCCUUGAACGAGGAAUUCCCAGUAAGCGUGAGUCAUUAGCUCGCGUUGAUUACGUCCCUGCCCUUUGUACACACCGCCCGUCGCUACUACCGAUUGGAUGAUUUAGUGAGGUGUUUUGACUGGCGCCAGUAGUCGGAUAUGUAUUCGGCUUCGCGCCGGGAAAUUUCCCAAACCAAAUCAUCUAGAGGAAGUAAAAGUCGUAACAAGGUUUCCGUAGGUGAACCUGCGGAAG
rnacentral:rRNA from 1 species